AUGGUGUCAGACUGCAAGAUUGGCCCACCUAUCCUCAACAGUGGCUCGGCCAAUUUAGGGAACAGGUGCCUCCAGAUAAUCGACUCUGUGGUCGAUUAUCUGUACCUGGAUGUAACGAACACGGACCCUGCUCUUUAGGACAGUCAGUUUUUUGCAGUUUGUUCCCAGCGUCACAUUUGGCCACACUAUGGUAGAAAGCCUUCAAAAGCAGCCAGGUCAGGACUCUUUUCUUUGACAUGCACAUGAGAGGGUUUAGGCUGUAAACAGUGGGUAAAGCCAAUGGCCAGAGGAGGCGCCAAUCAGCACACCACCUUUCAUCUUGAGGCUACUGAGAACCCAAGGACUUUGAUUAAAGACAUUUGGGAGAAUGGGAUGAAUGUUGGCCUUGCCAUUAAACUGGGAACUACAGUUGAGUAUUUGGCACUGUGCACUAAUAAAAUAGAUAUGGCCUUGGUAAUGACAGUGGAACCUGGAUUUGAAGAACAGAAAUUUAUGAAAGAUAUGAUGCCAAAAGUUCACUGGUUGCAGACCCAGCUCCUAUCUUUGGAUAUAGAGGUGAUGGUGGAGUAGGUCCUGAUAUUGUCCAUAAGGGUGCAGAGGUAGGAGCUCACAUGACUGUGUCUGGCAGUGCCAUUAUGAGGAGCGAAGACUAUAGAUCUGUGUCAACCUGUUAAAAAUGUCUGCAUGGAAGCUGCUCAGAA
rnacentral:lncRNA from 1 species